UAGUUAUUCAGAAAUCAAUGAGAAUAAAAAUAAUCAUGCAUUAUUUUGGAGGGGGAAAAAUAUGAAUCGGAUGACAGAAAUCAUGAAAAUAGGAAAAAGUGCGUCAUACUCUAAAUAGAAAGAUUGACUUCAUGGAUGAAUUAUCUCGACACUACUUAAGACUUAAUAUAACUUAGAAACUAUAAAUUAUUUCAUAUUUGACAAUGACGAUAUAAACACACAAAUUUUUU
rnacentral:lncRNA from 1 species